AGUGGCGAACGGGUGCGUAACACGUGAGAAACCUAUCCCGGACUCUGGAAUAACAGUUGGAAACGACUGCUAAUACCGGAUGCCUUCACAUGGUCGCCUGGCCGAGUGAAGAAAGAUUUAUCGGUUUGGGAGGGUCUCGCGGCCUAUCAGCUAGUUGGAGAGGUAACGGCUCACCAAGGCAUCGACGGGUAGCUGGUCUGAGAGGAUGAUCAGCCACACUGGGACUGAGACACGGCCCUGACUCCUACGGGAGGCAGCAGUGGGGAAUCUUGCACAAUGGGCGCAAGCCUGAUGCAGCAACGCCGCAGUGCGGGAAGAAGGCCCUAGGGUUGUAAACCGCUUUCAGGAGGAAAGAAACUGACGGUACCUCCAGAAGAAGGUGCGGCCAACUACGUGCCAGCAGCCGCGGUGACACGUANGCACCAAGCGUUAUCCGGAUUUAUUGGGCGUAAGAGCUCGUANGCGGUUUGGUNAGUC
rnacentral:rRNA from 1 species